GACGAACGCUGGCGGCGCGCUUAACACAUGCAAGUCGAACGGAAAGGCCUGCUUUCCCUUGUGGAUUGCGGGUACUCGAGUGGCGAACGGGUGAGUAACACGUGAGUGAUCUGCCCCCAACUUGGGUAUAAGCCUGGGAAACUGGGUCUAAUUCCCGAUAGGACUGCAGGGUGGUGCCUGUGGUGGAAAACGAUUUUCUAGUGGUUGGGGAUGAGCUCGCGGCCUAUCAGCUUGUUGGUGGGGUAAUGGCCUACCAAGGCGGCGACGGGUAGCCGGCCUGAGAGGGAGGACGGCCACAUUGGGACUGAGAUACGGCCCAGACUCCUACGGGAGGCAGCAGUGGGGAAUAUUGCACAAUGGGCGGAAGCCUGAUGCAGCGACGCCGCGUGGGGGAUGACGGCCUUCGGGUUGUAAACUCCUUUCGACCGCGAGGAAGCCACCUGGUUGGAAGGGUGGUGACGGUAGUGGUAGAAGAAGCACCGGCUAACUACGUG
rnacentral:rRNA from 1 species